rnacentral:pre_miRNA from 1 species
AGGAGGAACAGCCCCAGGGGCGGGGCCAGCUCUGGAAACGUGGAUUCAGCUCCGGCAGGAACUCCGUCUGCAGGGCCUGGAGGCUCUGGGGCGGG